rnacentral:rRNA from 1 species
GGUGAUUCAUGACAAUUGAGCGAAUCGUAUGGCCUAGCGCCGGCGAUGCUCCAUUCAAAUUUCUGCCCUAUCAACUUUUGAUGGUAGGAUCGAGGCCUACCAUGGUUGCAACGGGUAACGGGGAAUUAGGGUUUGAUUCCGGAGAGGGAGCUUGAGAAAUGGCUACCACUUCCAAGGAAGGCAGCAGGCGCGAAAAUUACCCAAUCCCGAUUCGGGGAGGUAGUGACAACAAAUAACAAUACGGGAUCCUCACGGAUCUUGUAAUUGGAAUGAGUACAAUUUAAAUCCCUUAACGAUGAGCAACUGGAGGGCAAGUCAGGUGCCAGCAGCCGCGGUAAUUCCUGCUCCAGUAGCGUAUAUUAAAGUUGUUGCGGUUAAAAAGCUCGUAGUUGGAUUUCGGGGGUUCAGGAGGUUGGACCACGCAUCGUCGUGAGAUCUAGCCACCGGAUCCCUUUCCCUUCUGGAAGGUCGCUACUGCUCUUUAUUGAGCGGUGGUAUGUGAUGCCCGGGUGUGUUUUUGCACGCUCAGGUAAUCCGACCUCCAGAUCAUUUACUUUGAAAAAAUUAGAGUGUUCAAAGCAGGCGUUUUUGCCUUGAAUACAUUAGCAUGGGAUAAUGCCAUAGGACUCGGUUCCUAUUUCGUUGGUUUCUAGGAAACUGAGUAAUGAUUAAUAGGGAUAGUUGGGGUGAUUCGUAUUUCAUUGUCAGAGGUGAAAUUCUUGGAUUUAUGAAAGACGAACUUCUGCGAAAGCAUUUCACAAGGAUGUUUUCAUUAAUCAAGAACGAGAGUUGGGGGAUCGAAGGCGAUCAGAUACCGUCGUAGUCUCAACCAUAAACUAUGCCGACCAGGGAUCGGAAGACGUUAUUUAUACGACUCCUCCGGCACCUUGUGAGAAAUCAUAAGUUUUUGGGCUUCGGGGGGAGUAUGGUCGCAAGGCUGAAACUUAAAGGAAUUGACGGAAGGGCACCACCAGGUGUGGAGCCUGCGGCUUAAUUUGACCCAACACGGGAAAACUUACCAGGUCCAGACAGCAGAAGGAUUGACAGAUUGAGAGCUUUUUCUUGAUUUGCUGGGUGGUGGUGCAUGGCCGUUCCUAGUUGGUGGGGUGACCUGUCAUGUUAAUUCAGGUAACGAGCGAGACCUCAGCCGGUUAAAUAACACUGCAGACUAUCCUUCCUUCCCUUCGGGGAUUGAAGAGUCUUGUCAAGGGUUACUUAACGGGACUCCUGGCGUCUAGCCAGCGGAAGCUUGAGGCAAUAACAGGUCUGUGAUGCCCUUCGAUGUUCUGGGCUGCACGCGCGCUACACUGACGAAGUCAACGAGUUAUUUUCCUUACCCGAAAGGGUUGGGUAAUCUUCUUAAACUUCGUCGUGAUGGGGAUAGAUCAUUGUAAUUAUUGGUCUUCAACGAGGAAUACCUAGUAAGCGUGAGUCAUCAGCUCGCGUUGAUUACGUCCCUGCCCUUUGUACACACCGCCCGUCGCUCCUACCGAUUGGAUGGUCCGAUGAACACUCCGGACGGCUGAAAUGGUGGAUGGGGCAACCUAUUCAUCCUUAAGCCGAAAGUUGUGUAAACCUUAUCAUCUAGAGGAAGGAGAAGUCGUAACAAGGUC